rnacentral:misc_RNA from 1 species
AACAAGGCGUACCUGCGGACCUGCGGAGGGAUCAUUACACGAUACAAUAUGAAGGCUGUCCGCAGCUGGAGUAUUUUAUUACCCUUGUCUUUUGCGCACUUGUUGUUUCCUGGGCGGGUUCGCUCGCCACCAGGACCACCAAAUAAACCUUUUUUAUGCAGUUGCAAUCAGCGUCAGUACAAACAAUGUAAAUCAUUUACAACUUUUAACAAUGGAUCU